AGUGAACGCUGGCGGUAGGCCUAACACAUGCAAGUCGAACGGCAGCACAGUAAGAGCUUGCUCUUACGGGUGGCGAGUGGCGGACGGGUGAGGAAUACAUCGGAAUCUACUUUUUCGUGGGGGAUAACGUAGGGAAACUUACGCUAAUACCGCAUACGACCUACGGGUGAAAGCAGGGGAUCUUCGGACCUUGCGCGAUUGAAUGAGCCGAUGUCGGAUUAGCUAGUUGGCGGGGUAAAGGCCCACCAAGGCGACGAUCCGUAGCUGGUCUGAGAGGAUGAUCAGCCACACUGGAACUGAGACACGGUCCAGACUCCUAAGGGAGGCAGCAGUGGGGAAUAUUGGACAAUGGGCGCAAGCCUGAUCCAGCCAUACCGCGUGGGUGAAGAAGGCCUUCGGGUUGUAAAGCCCCUUUGUUGGGAAAGAAAAGCAGCAGGUUAAUACCCCGCUGUUCUGACGGUACCCAAAGAAUAAGCACCGGCUAACUUCGUG
rnacentral:rRNA from 1 species